GCCAGCAGCCAUAUCACCCUGCAAGUCACAAUUGGCAACCCACUGAAGCUAAGCCGGAGGGAGCCUGGUCAGUACCUGGAUGGGAGACCUCCUGGGAAAAACUAAGGUGUUAGUGGGG
rnacentral:rRNA from 1 species